UCAUCACCGUUGCUGUACUACUGAGUAACAUCGUGGUAAUGAUGUGUCGUCUCCAUAAUUCUUACUUUUGCCGUAUGAUAUGUCAUCUCUAACUAAAAUCACCCAUUAAAAAUCGCUUUUAAAAUCUUUUUACCGCUGAGCUCCCGGAAAUCAGAAAUCUUCCCGGCGAUUUCGCCGUCCCGGCACCCAAGCCGCCCUCCAUCAUUUUAUCCGUGCCCGUAAUUUCCGCCGCGUGCCGUCGCCAGACGCCGUGCGGGUGCUCCGACCGCGUGCCGCGAACGCCGUCGGUCCCUCUCCUUUUCUUCCUCUUUUUCCCCUCCCCUUUUCUUUUUCUUUUUCCUUUUUCCUUUCUUCCUCCUUUUUCUUUCUCCUUCCUCCUUCCUUCUUCUCUCUCCUCCCUCCUUCUUCU
rnacentral:lncRNA from 1 species